CUGUAAUCGUAUAGAAGACAGAUGAUCUUUGUGCUUUUCGAAGACAUGUCGUCUAUAUUUGUCUUUCGACACACUUUAAAUAAUUAAUUGAUUAAAAUCAUGUUAUAUGCAAAUAGAAUUUUUUUUUUUUUUUUAACUACAAGUUGAUCGUAAGACAUAUAUUUGAGCAUUACCAUCACUCAUACUACAGCUGGAACAUCAGGGAGGCCAGGAAAAACCUGCAAUAUCUUUACAGGAAACCUGGAUGGGGCCAAGACAACCAGCAGCUUCCCCACAAAGCUUCUAUCUUACAAGUGCUUGAUUGGAGGGUUGGUAACACGACAAACAAAGCUCACCAUCAUUUAUUUUUUUUCCUCACGAUUUAUUUAUUUUUACUGUCAAUGUGUUCGAUAGCAAUUUUGCAAUAUGUAUUUGUUAACCCCACUUAUUAUAUUUGAAUUUUGAUUGGUGGAACUUGACAUAAUGUAAUUCUCGAAUUAUAUGACUUUAAUCUCAGGAAAAAUAGCUUGUUCAAUAUUUUAAAAUAGCAGGAUCAAAAUGCAAUUCAGG